UACAGGGGGGGCAAGCGUUGUUCGGAAUUACUGGGCGUAAAGGGCGCGUAGGCGGCCUUCUAAGUCAGACGUGAAAUCCCCCGGCUUAACCUGGGAACUGCGUCUGAUACUGGGAGGCUUGAGUAUGGGAGAGGGAUGUAGAAUUCCAGGUGUAGCGGUGAAAUGCGUAGAUAUCUGGGGGAAUACCGGUGGCGAAGGCGGCAUCCUGGACCAUAACUGACGCUGAGGCGCGAAAGCUAGGGGAGCAAACGGG
rnacentral:rRNA from 1 species